rnacentral:rRNA from 1 species
AUUGAACGCUGGCGGAAUGCUUUACACAUGCAAGUCGAACGGUAGAGGGGGCAACCCCUUGAGAGUGGCGAACGGGUGAGUAAUAUAUCGGAACGUGCCCAGUCGUGGGGAUAACGUAGCGAAAGUUACGCUAAUACCGCAUACGAUCUAAGGAUGAAAGCGGGGGAUCGCAAGACCUCGCGCGAUUGGAGCGGCCGAUAUCAGAUUAGGUAGUUGGUGGGGUAAAGGCUCACCAAGCCAACGAUCUGUAGCUGGUCUGAGAGGACGACCAGCCACACUGGAACUGAGACACGGUCCAGACUCCUACGGGAGGCAGCAGUGGGAAUAUUGGGACAAAUGGGCGAAGACCUGAUCCAGCCAUGCGC